rnacentral:rRNA from 1 species
GAGUUUGAUCAUGGCUCAGGAUGAACGCUAGCGGCAGGCUUAACACAUGCAAGUCGAGGGGUAACAGAGGUAGCUUGCUACUUGCUGACGACCGGCGCACGGGUGCGUAACGCGUAUAGAAUCUACCUUGUACUAGGGGAUAGCCUUUGGAAACGAAGAUUAAUACCCUAUAGUAAGUAUUUAUGGCAUCAUUUAUACUUUAAAGGUUACGGUACAAGAUGACUAUGCGUCCUAUUAGUUUGUUGGUGAGGUAACGGCUCACCAAGACUUCGAUAGGUAGGGGCCCUGAGAGGGGGAUCCCCCACACUGGUACUGAGACACGGACCAGACUCCUACGGGAGGCAGCAGUGAGGAAUAUUGGACAAUGGAGGCAACUCUGAUCCAGCCAUGCCGCGUGCAGGAUGACGGCCCUAUGGGUUGUAAACUGCUUUUAUGUAGGAAGAAACA